rnacentral:rRNA from 1 species
AGUGAACGCUGGCGGUAGGCCUAACACAUGCAAGUCGAACGGCAACAAAGUAAGCGCUUGCUCUUACGUGUGGCGAGUGGCGGACGGGUGAGGCAUACAUCUGUGUCUACUUUUUCGUGGGAGAUCACGUAGAGACACUUAAACUAAUACCGCAUACGACCUACGGAUGAAGGCAGGCUAUCUUCGGACCUUGCGCGAUUGAAUGCGCCGAUGUCGGAUUAGCUAGUUGGCGGGGUAAAGGCCCACCAAGGCGACGAUCCGUAGCUGGUCUGAGAGGAUGAUCAGCCACACUGGAACUGAGACACGGCCCAGACUCCUACGGGAGGCAGCAGUGGGGAAUAUUGGACAAUGGGCGCAAGCCUGAUCCAGCCAUACCGCGUGGGUGAAGAAGGCCUUCGGGUUGUAAAGCCCUUUUAUUGGGAAAGAAAAGUAGCAGCUUAAAACCCCGAUGUUCUGACGGUACCCAAAGAAGAAGCACCGGCUAAUUUCGU